rnacentral:rRNA from 1 species
UACGGAGGGUGCGAGCGUUGUCCGGAAUCACUGGGCGUAAAGGGCGCGUAGGUGGCGCGGGCAGUCAACGGUGAAAGUUCGGGGCUCAACCCUGAAUCGGCCGUCGAUACUCCCGGGCUUGAGCACUGUAGAGGCAGAUGGAAUUCCGGGUGUAGCGGUGGAAUGCGUAGAGAUCCGGAAGAACACCGGUGGCGAAAGCGGGUCUCUGGGCCGUAACUGACGCUGAGGAGCGAAAGCGUGGGGAGCGAACAGG